GACAUAGGUUGCGAACGUUAUCCGGAAUUAUUGGGCGUAAAGGGUGCGUAGGUGGUUUGAUAAGUUAUCAGUGGCAAAUCGGGGCUCAACCUCGUGGAAGCUGGUAAUACUGUCAUACUCGAGUGCAGGAGAAGUUAACGGAACUCUAUAUGGAGCGGUAAAAUGUGACGAUAUAUAGAAGAACACCAAUAAGGCGAAGGCAGUUAACUAUGCUGUUACUGACAUUGAGGCAUGAAAGCGUGGGGAGCAAAACGG
rnacentral:rRNA from 1 species